CUGACUAGCUGUUUGGGCAGACUUAGACAGUUGGAACAUUUACCUGGGCAGAAAGAACAAUAUCCAACAUAUCCUGAUCCUUCUGAGUGUUAUCCUGCUUCAUUCCAGUCCUGUGGGGAUUUGUUCUGUCCCAGAUUAUCUUUUCUGAGAAGAAUAUAUCACAAUUACCGAAGUGACAGCAAAGCCAAUCAAAGUCAGAUAAAUGAUAAACCAAUGCAGGGGCCAUGAAUAGCUUUCAACUCUUGCCCACUUCCCAGAGGCUAGGGUUGGUCCAUGACACUUAAAGAGAUUACUUUCUACAGAUGGCUUAUUUAGCACGAAUGUAUGGCAUUUGAUAAAAGUUCCAAAGACACACAGAACUCACAAGGCAGAUAGUUUAUAUUCAUCAGGUAAGCAAUGCAAUUUCAAAUUGAUUUCUUUCUAGUUUAAAAUCUUCUCUUCAUGGAAACCACCAAAUAAAAAUUCAAAACAGAACUACCAUUUGAAACUCCCCUUUCUACAGAAGUAGUCUAAAUUUUCUCUCUCUUGGGGUGAAUUUUUGUCACUUUAAAUUUUCCAUUUCAUCUAGCUUUUAAAAGCAUUUAGGCCAGAGGAGAUGGAG